GACGAACGCUGGCGGCGUGCUUAACACAUGCAAGUCGAACGGAAAGGCCUGCUUUCCCUUGUGGAUUGCGGGUACUCGAGUGGCGAACGGGUGAGUAACACGUGAGUUAUCUGCCCCCAACUUUGGUAUAAGCCUGGGAAACUGGGUCUAAUUCCCGAUAGGACUGCAGGGUGGUGCCUGUGGUGGAAAACGAUUUUCUAGUGGUUGGGGAUGAGCUCGCGGCCUAUCAGCUUGUUGGUGGGGUAAUGGCCUACCAAGGCGGCGACGGGUAGCCGGCCUGAGAGGGUGACGUGAAACAUGGGGAAUGAGAUAAGGGCCGGAAGGCGAAGGGGGGAAGAAGUGGGGAAUAUGGGACAAUGGGAGGAAGACGGAGGGAGCAAGGCAGAGUGAGGGAUGAAGGACGUAGGGUGGGAAACAGGUAGCGCCUGUGAAGAAGCGGGAGUGAAGGUAAUGGGUAAAGAAGAACCGGCUAACUACGUG
rnacentral:rRNA from 1 species